rnacentral:rRNA from 1 species
GAUUAACGCUGGUGGCGUGCAUAACACAUGCAAGUCGAACGAUGAAACUCAUUAGAUUUCUUCGGAAUGAAAAUGAAUGGAUUAGUGGCGAACGGGUGAGUAACGCGUGAGUAACCUGCCUUACACAAGGGGAUAGCCUCUGGAAACGGAGAAUAAUACCCUAUGAAACCAGACAAUCGCAUGAUAAUCUGGUCAAAAUGUUUAGUGGUGUAAGAUGGACUUGCGUCUGAUUAGCUAGUUGGUGAGAUAAAAGCUCACCAAGGCAACGAUCAGUAGCCGGCUUGAGAGAGUGUACGGCCACAUUGGGACUGAGACACGGCCCAGACUCCUACGGGAGGCAGCAGUGGGGAAUUUUGCACAAUGGGGGAAACCCUGAUGCAGCGACGCCGCGUGAUUUAGAAGGCCUUCGGGUUGUAAAAAUCUUUUGUAUAGGAAGAAAAUGACAGUACUAUACGAAUAAGGUCCGGCUAAUUACGUG